rnacentral:antisense_RNA from 1 species
UGUGGGAGCUGGCUUGCCUGCGAUAGCGGUGGGUCAGCAGCCCCAUGUUUGACUGAUGGAUUGCUAUCGCAGGCAAGCCAGCUCCCACA